UUCUUAAAGAGAUAAUUUUAAGUAUAAUCUGCUCAAUGAAUUAAAUAGCCGCUAAUAGUGCUAAGGUAGCAUAAUCACUCGUCUAUUAAUUUUAGACUAGAAUGAAUGAUUUAACAUUUUAAUUUAAAUAUUAAUUUUAAACAUUUAAAUUUUAUUAAAUAUUAAAAUAUAUUUAUAUUUUAAAUAGACGAUAAGACCCUAUUGAACUUUACUAUAGUUAAGUUGGGGAAACUUAUUAAAUAUAAUUUUAAUAUUCGUUUAUUAAAAGAAAUCUAUUAAAAAUAAAUUUAUAAGUUACCAUAGGGAUAACAGCGCUAUUAUUCUUUAAAGAUCUUAUUAAUAGAAUAGAUUACGACCUCGAUGUUGAAUUAUUUUUCUUUUAUAAGUAUAAAUAUAAAAA
rnacentral:rRNA from 1 species